rnacentral:rRNA from 1 species
GCUCAAUGGAAAUCUAAAUAGCCGCAGUUUCUGUGCUAAGGUAGCAUAAUCAUUUGUUUUUUAAUUUAAAACUAGAAUGAAAGGUUUAACAUUUAAAUUUCUAUAUUUUUAUUACCUUGCGAAAUUAUAUUAUAUGUAAAAAUACAUUUAUAAAAAAAAUAGACGACAAGACCCUAUUAAACUUUACUUAUGUUAAGCUGGGGCAGCUUUUAAAAUAUUAUUUUUAAUUUUUUCCUCAAAAAUAUUCCUUUAUAAUCGAAUAAUAAUCAAGUUACUAUAGGGAUAACAGCGUAAUUUUUAUAUAAAGCUCUUAUUUAAAUAAAAGUUUGCGACCUCGAUGUUGAAUUAAAUUCCCUUAUUUUCGCAAUAGAAAUAUAAGUAGGUCUGUUCGACCUUUAAUAAUUUACAUGAUUUGAGUUCAAACCGGUGUAAGCCAGGUUGGUUUCUAUCUUUUUAAUUAAUUUUCUAGUACGAAAGGACAAAAAAUUAUAUUUAUAAUAUUUAAUUGGCAGAAAAUUGCAUUAGAAUUAGAAUCUAAUCAC